rnacentral:rRNA from 1 species
AUGGAGUUGUUGCAUAGAGAUACUAGAUUAGAACAACAAUAUUGCAUCCUUCAUACUCGAGCUCAGUUUUCAUUACAAAGUCUGAUUGUUACACUGGAAGUGAGCUUUGUAUAUUCACAACUGGAUUAUGAAAAUGUCAAAGCAAAACAGUGUAGGGAGUGUUUGGUUCCAUUGCUUAGUUGGACAAUAGCUCGGCUAGCUCAUCUAGCAGCUUUCACUUUGAUAACCUUGCUUGGUCAAGUCAUUUGGUUCUUUUACUUUACCAGCCUUAUCGUGAAAACUAUUGUCAGGAAUGGGUCAUAG